rnacentral:rRNA from 1 species
GUCGGGUUGUUGCUGGCCUCUAGGGGCAUGUGCACGCCUGCCACCGUUUUCAACCACCUGUGCACCUUUUGUAGACUCUUUGGGAUACCUUUCGGAGGGGUUCUUGCCCCUUCGGUUUGGGGACUGCCGUGCUACUAUUACUAGUGGUCGGCUUUCCUUACAUUUCCCAGGUCUAUGUCUUUUAUAUACCCCGUAAUGAAUGUAUUAGAAUGUCUUUGUUAAUGGCCUUUGGUGCCUUUAAUCAAAUACAACUUUCAGCAACGGAUCUCUUGGCUCUCGCAUCGAUGAAGAACGCAGCGAAAUGCGAUAAGUAAUGUGAAUUGCAGAAUUCAGUGAAUCAUCGAAUCUUUGAACGCACCUUGCGCUCCUUGGUAUUCCGAGGAGCAUGCCUGUUUGAGUGUCAUUAAAUUCUCAACCUAACCAGCUUUUGUGUUAGUGCUUGGAUGUGGGACUUGCGGGCUUCGCAGAAGUCGGCUGUCCUUAAAUGCAUUAGUGGAAACCUUUGGUUGACCUUGUCCCCUGGUGUGAUAAUUAUCUACAUCGCGGGCAGUCAGCUAUUGUAAAUGGGUUUUCUGCUGACAACCUUUGUCACCUUACCCGGAGACGCUUUUGACAAUUGACCUCAAAUCAGG